rnacentral:lncRNA from 1 species
CUUCGCUUAUAAAUAAGGAAGCUUGGUCUUACGAAUGAUAUACGAAAACAUACGAUAACAUUAGCUUAGAGCUUUUGGCUUGCAAACACUAAGAGAGCACUAUAGUUUCAAUCGGAGAUUUCCUAGCUGUCGACGAUUGAAUCGUGCACUUGGAAUCGUUCCUGCAUCGAAUCGACAUACACGUGGAUACCUUAGUAGUGGAUUCACGGCACGAAUCGAGACGCACGUUUACCACAUAACAAGUAAGUUAUUCUUAUUGUUGUGUGUCUAUCUCUACACAUGAUGCAUUUGUAAAUCUAGAUCUAAUCCUUGAAUAUAUAUUCCGCUGCGUAUCAUUAGAUGAUGUCAAGGAU